UGCUGAAUAAAAUAGUGGUGACACAAGUUUAGAUGUUUAACACACUAUUUUAGAUUAAACUUUGAAAUCCUAGGAGGAAUCUUACUUUUUGCUUAAUAAAUGGAAUAAGACGGAGGAAAGUAUAAAACCACUUUUGUUGGGUCACUAAUGCAACACACUCAUAAGGAAAAAUAAGGAUGACUGCACGAUACUAAAUAAAACAUGCUUAAAAUUUUGUACAAGACAAAAUGAAAGGAAAAUAUGAAAAAUAGAUGUCCUUCACCAUAAAUCUUGGAAACAUCACAGAAGCCUCUGUCACACUACUGUAACGUCCUGUAAAACUAUCAGAGCCAAACUGCCACUGGAACUUGAGUUAAAAAUAGAACCCUAUAAUCUGCCAUAGGAAACUGUUUUAAUUUUAAUUAAUUUUGUAGAAAUCCAAUGCAUGCCCAAAUUUUACAGUAUCACACUCAUGUGAUUAGGAAGCCUCUGUAAAAUUUUCAGAACCAUAUCUUAUCAGAAGCUACCACAAAAAUUUAUGGAAGUUAAACCAAGAAAAAGGAAUAGAAUCAAUUAGUUAAUGAGAAGGGCAAAUUGGUAAAUACACACUAAGGUACCGAAAAACAUUCAGAAACAGGAUAACUUUCCAAAUGAACCUUGAGCAACCCUAGAGUGACCCCCCCUUCUUUUGUGAAGUCUAAGUUGUAAACCUUAUAUGUGUACACAAUCACCAUCAAAGUCAACCCCGG
rnacentral:lncRNA from 1 species